ACGAUCCUUAGCUGGUCUGAGAGGAUGAUCAGCCACACUGGGACUGAGACACGGCCCAGACUCCUACGGGAGGCAGCAGUGGGGAAUAUUGGACAAUGGGCGCAAGCCUGAUCCAGCAAUGCCGCGUGAGUGAUGAAGGCCUUAGGGUUGUAAAGCUCUUUUACCCGUGAUGAUAAUGACAGUAGCGGGAGAAUAAGCCCCGGCUAACUCCGUGCCAGCAGCCGCGGUAAUACGGAGGGGGCUAGCGUUGUUCGGAAUUACUGGGCGUAAAGCGCACGUAGGCGGCUUUGUAAGUUAGAGGUGAAAGCCUGGAGCUCAACUCCAGAACUGCCUUUAAGACUGCAUCGCUUGAAUCCAGGAGAGGUGAGUGGAAUUCCGAGUGUAGAGGU
rnacentral:rRNA from 1 species